rnacentral:rRNA from 1 species
CCUACGGGUGACAGCAGUGAGGAAUAUUGGUCAAUGGACGUAAGGCUGAACCAGCCAAGUCGCGUGAAGGAAGAAGGAUCUAUGGUUUGUAAACUGCUUUUAUAGGGGAAUAAAGGUAGACACGUGUGGAUAGUUGCAUGUACCCUAUGAAUAAGCAUCGGCUAACUCCGUGCCAGCAGCCGCGGUAAUACGGAGGAUGCGAGCGUUAUCCGGAUUUAUUGGGUUGAAAGGGUGCGUAGGUUGUGUUUUAAGUCAGCGGUGAAAGUUUGUGGCUCAACCCUAGACUUGCCUUUGACACGGGUCGCCUUGCGUGUGUUUGCGGUAGGCGGAAUGCGUGGUGUAGCGGU